rnacentral:lncRNA from 1 species
UUGUUCUGCCUCCUGAAUGCGCUUCAGGUUCUGCUUAAAGUUAAACAACUACUUAGGAGUCUCAUCCGGAGAUCUGCCCGGAGGCAGUAUAGUUGUGGGUGGCAGGGAGUAUGGGAGGAUAUGGGCAGGCAUCUAGAGCAGUUGGCACCCCCAGUGUUUUGGAAAUUCACCCCUGAACAACUGCACAAUCCUCAAAAACUGGCAGAAUGCUUGAAAAAAAGGUGUCAUGACUCUGGCAGUUCCAAAGUAACACAAAUCAUUGUAACGUGCUGGGGCCUGGCUCAUGCCUAUCGAGCUGCCAUUGAUACUGCUAUCAACUUAGUGACAGACCCUGCGGCCACUCCAAGUCCCGUGACAGAUCCAACAGCCACUGUGACCCCUACGGUGGACUCUGCAGCCGCUCCAGUCCCAGCUCCUGCAGCUGCUCCAGUCCCAGCUCCUGCAACUGCUCCAGCUCCAGUCCCAGCUCCUGCAGCCGCUCCAAUCCCAGCUCCUGCAGCUGCUCCAGUUCCAGUUCCUGAAGCUGCUCCAGUCCCAGCUCCUGCAGCCGCUCCAGUCCCAGCUCCUGCAGCCGCUCCAGUUCCAGCUCCUGCAGCCGCUCCAGCUCCAGCUCCUGCAGCCGCUCCAGUUCCAGCUCCUGCAGCUGCUCCAGUUCCAGCUCCUGCAGCCGCUCCAGUUCCAGCUCCUGCAGCCGCUCCAGUUCCAGCUCCUGCAGCCGCUCCAGUUCCAGCUCCUGCAGCCGCUCCAGCUCCAGUUCCUGCAGCCGCUCCAGUCCCAGCUCCUGCAGCAGAUCUAGUCCCAGCUCCUGCAGCCGCUCCAGUCCCAGCUCCUGCAGCCGCUCCAGUUCCAGUUCCUGCAGCCGUUCCAGCUCCUGUGGCUGGAUCAGAGAAACGAGCUGUAGCAGUGCAAGNNNNNNNNNNCCUCUAACACAGUAACUUUCUUCGGUUAUAUGCAGUAAAUAUUUACAUAUGCACAAGGUUUCCCAGUAUGCCUAUACAUAUUCAUAACCUGUCCCCGCUUAGUAUUAAAAUUAUCUCCAAUAAGUCAUUUCCAUAAACUCCUCCCCUCUGCGCUUGCACGGUGCCUUCUGGUGGUGGAGGCUGAGGGUCGUGAGGAUGAAGUAAGAUGUUUUGAUCAGUGUCGAACUUUUCACCUCGUCUCCUUGAGCAUGCUCUCUGAGCCCUUGGUCACAAUCUGGGCCAUAAGGUCAGUUUGGUCCAGUUCUCCGGGUCUGAGGGGCUCCUGUUAUCUCAAGGCCUUGCAUGCUUGACAUUCUUUAUCUUGUCCUUUUAAGAACAGUCCUCCUUAUCUCUGAGUCCUUGGUCACAGUCCGAACCAUAAGGUUGGUUUGAUCUGGUUCUCCGGGUCCCAAGGGCUCCUGUUAUCUGGAGGCCUAAGCGCAACACAGGCAAAUAUAGCACAUUUUAAGCAAUGAAUGUUGCCUACAUAUUCAUUCUUAAUCAAUCGCUCUCUAAUUUCUAAUCCCAUGUUUCAGUCCCACCUUUUCUGGAAAAUCUAGUAAAUUCUUUUACUUAAUACAAAAAUUCUUCUUCCGAGUCUCUAUGAUACGUACCCCUCAAUGCUUUGCCAUGCACUUUUGUCAAGGAAGCUAAUAUAGCCAUUUGUUGUAACAAUUUCCAAUUCCAAACAAGUAUUACAAAGGACAAUAUUAAACAUAUACCAACUAAUAUCAAUAAAACAAUAAUUGGGUGACUCAAUGUGUUCAAAAUCCCAGUUGCAGUUGGCGACCAUCCAAAGAGUGCGUCCCACCAGUUGUGACUUGUGUCUUGUUUUACUCUUUGCAAAACUCUGCUUAUUUCCUUUGUAUCAUGAUGGAUAGUGAUUAGAGUCUCCUUUCCAUUUUCCUGAAUGCUUUUUAAAAUUUUAAUCAGGUCUUGGUGUUUAACUAGUUGCUUCACUAACGUGAGGUUCAUCCCAAUAGGUGUAGGUAAUAACUUGUGAUACAUUGUGUUGUUAGACUUGAUCAACUGGUGGGAUACCACUGGUGCCAAAUAUAGAAAGUCACACCCGACGAUUCUAACAAAGUUACAAAUACAGAAGUUAGAAUGAUUUUUGCUACGGAGAGUUAUGUCCUCCUUAUCUACUUCUACAAAAUCACAAGCAGUUCUUAAACACACACAGCCUUGACCAACAUAUACAAGCACAGUCUUUUGACUAGUAUUUGGAUGAAUUUCAAAGUGGCAAACACCUUGCUCCGUGUCAAGACAUACAUCCUGAGCAUCAAUUGUGUUGCUUUCACAAAUAAAUCCUUGUUGUUCCCAGGUAACACGUGAUUCUAGAUUUACAGACUGCCAUUUCCCAUUCUCCAUCCGUGCCCAUGUCCUAUGCUCCGAAGGAUAGAGCACUGUCUCCUCAUGGUUUAAUCCUAGUGCAAUGAUGGGGUGGAUAACAUAAACUGUGGCAUUACUUAUAGUAAGCACAAAGGCAGUAGCCAUGUUAACAAUGGGAUCAUAGGUAAAAUUCCAUUAAUCAUUCGGCACCCUAUUUUAAUUUCGUCCCCUAUGGUUCUUUGGUGUGUCCACUCUUCCCCUAAUUUACGUCAUUCUGAUAGUGUAUAUAAAUGGUCACCAUUUGUUCGCCAGAUGACCAUAACUGCUAACUUUCCUUUAAUGCUCUUAUCCUCUGUUGUUACGGCUUCGGACCAAGGCCACUCACCAUUCUCUAUUAUCAUAGAGGCACCGUCUUGAAUCACAAUUACAACUAUAAGCCAUAGAAACAAAACAAUUCUAUCAACAAUAUUACUAAAUACUCCCGACCGUAAUGUCCUCAUUUUGUUCAACUAAGCUUUAGUUUCAGUUCAUCGUCACCUGGCAUUACUUUCCAGGGGGCUUCUGGAGCUUUCUUCACUCGAGAAUGGUGGAUCCAAGCGGCUUGUUCUCUAAUCUUGAUAGCAGUAUGAGUUGUCAGCAACACUUGAUACGGUCCAUUCCAUUUUUCCUCUAGGGGUUGUCCUGAAAAAGUUUCUAUAUAUAUAUUAUCCCUGGGCUUAAAGGGGUGGAUUGGUUGAUCCAACCCUCUAGCCCUGGUCCCUAAAACAAAUUUAUGUACUUUAUUCAAACAAAUCUCUACCUAAGAGUGCCCAUGAGGCGUUGGGCAUAUAUAAAAAUAUGUCUAUGCCCCAUUGUUUCCCUAACUUUUUAGGGAUAUUUUUUCUUACUUGAUCACUCUCCCUUUCUCCUUCACCACCCCUGUAUCCUCCUUGAUCACUCUCCCUUCCUCCUUGAUCACUCUCCCUUAGCUCUCCAAGAUAUUGAAUAUCCUUGGGAUACUCAGACCAGCAUGGUCUUGUUGUUCUGCCUCCUGAAUGCACUUCAGGUUCUGCUUAAAGUUAAACAACUACUUAGGAGUCUCAUCCGGAGAUCUGCCCGGAGGCAGUAUANNNNNNNNNNUUUCUUGUAAAUAUGUAACAGCAAUGUCCUAUAUAUAUUUGGAAAGUUCGACGGUUGCAUGUGUGUGUUGGUAGUGCAUAGACUCCCCGCGCACCCAGCGCUGUUUACUUGCCUUUUAUAAAUAUUCUUUUAUGUUACUAAAUUCAGAGUUGAGACUUCAUUUAUAACAAAUUGGUAACCCCGACGAGAUUUUCUUGGACUUUGGAUCUGCGACCGGUAAAGGGAGGCGCCCCACCUAGUGGCCCUUGCCGAUAGCGGUGCUAGAGUUCAACAAGAUUUCGAACAUAAGAGGCAAGUAAAAAAAAAAAAACAAAAACAAAGAAGGGUGAUUGAGGCGACGCCCUGCCGUCUGGGGUUGCUUGUUUUCCCCUCUGUUAAGGCACGGAAGUUGCUGGGGGGUUGCUGGUUAGAACUGUUAACAUUUAUUGUUUAAUGUUAUAUGAUAAUAAUAUUAUUAGUGUGAUUUCAAGGGUUAACGAAACGCAGGAAAAG